UAAACGCUGGCGGCGUGCAUUAGACAUGCAAGUCGAACGAACGACCUCGGGCUUGCCCGGGGAAGUGAGUGGCGAACGGCUGAGUAACGCGUAGGUGACCUGCCCUAAAGUGGGGAAUAACUGCCCGAAAGGGUGGCUAAUACCGCAUACGGUCAUAAGUUCAGUCUUAUGACCAAAGCCUUCGGGCGCUUUUGGAGGGGCCUGCGUUCGAUUAGCUCGUUGGUGAGGUAACGGCUCACCAAGGCGACGAUCGAUAGGUGGUCUGAGAGGAUGAUCACCCAGACUGGGACUGAGACACGGCCCAGACAACUACGGUUGGCAGCAGUCGGGAAUUUUGCUCAAUGGGGGAAACCCUGAAGCAGCAACGCCGCGUGAGGGAUGAAGGCCUUCGGGUUGUAAACCUCUUUUCUCAGGGACGAUAAUGACGGUACCUGAGGAAUAAGCCACGGCUAACUAC
rnacentral:rRNA from 1 species